rnacentral:rRNA from 1 species
AUUGAACGCUGGCGGCAUGCCUUACACAUGCAAGUCGAACGGCAGCACGGGGGCAACCCUGGUGGCGAGUGGCGAACGGGUGAGUAAAGCAUCGGAACGUGCCCUGGAGUGGGGGAUAACGUAGCGAAAGUUACGCUAAUACCGCAUAUUCUGUGAGCAGGAAAGCAGGGGAUCGCAAGACCUUGCGCUCUGGGAGCGGCCGAUGUCGGAUUAGCUAGUUGGUGGGGUAAAGGCUCACCAAGCCAAUGAUCUGUAGCUGGUCUGAGAGGACGACCAGCCACACUGGAACUGAGACACGGUCCAGACUCCUACGGGAGGCAGCAGUGGGGAAUUUUGGACAAUGGGCGCAAGCCUGAUCCAGCCAUUCCGCGUGCAGGAUGAAGGCCUCGG